ensembl:lncRNA
GGCGAGUGCAGAUGAAAUGCUUCAUUAUUAGUGUUGUGUCAGAGUGAGGAGGAAAUCUCUGCAGAUGGACACAGGGACAAAGAACCUUCAGAGAGACAGAUAGAAGAGCAGAGUGGUAAAUGCAUUACGGAGGAAGAAACCAUAGAAUGCAACCACAAGGAAGAAUGUCAAGCUUCAAAAAUGACACAGAAGAUAGUAUUUUGAUGCAUGUUGGUCCCCAGCCAGUCUACCAACAUUCUCCAAGAUAUACAGUAUUCUUUUGUGUUCAAUAGAAGAAAGAAACAACUUGAAGAUGCAUUUCACGCGAGGCCGAUACCAAGCUGAGCUCCAUCUGCACCGCACUGCUACUCAUAUCAAAGAGGGAGCGAGUGACAGAAGGGAUGAGAGAAGCCGACUAAAAUGUGUGAAAGAAAUGUGCGGCGGACUCUAGGCUGCAUCCCUUCAGCAACAUAUGGGCUCCUAAUGAACAAUCUUCCAGCCAACAAUGUGGAAUGAGUUGAGCGACGUCAAGAGCUGCACGUGGAGACAGCAGGACCACCAAAUGAGUCAGUGGGCCACCAGACUCCCGUUUCAGUCGUGGGUUGCUUUUCAAAGAGGAGAUGUCACUACAGGUGAACACAGGAGGUGACCUAAACCACCUGUCCACUGGUUUGUAUCCUAGAGGCCACCUGUUUCCACAGCAACAAAGUGUUGAUGGGUCACGUAAAGCACUGUCGCAUUAACAAAAUUUCGUGGGCAAAAAAACUCAACUGCCUAUUUCAAACAAGCAGCUUUCUUUUUGUAUCGUGCACACGAUUUAUAAACCGAGAGAGCGAAUUAGUAAAUUGUGUGCACAAUUUAGCAAAUCGAGGGAACGAAAUAGUAAUCGUGUGCACAUUUUAGUACAUCGAGGGAAUGAAUUAGUAAAUUGUGCGCACAAUUUAUUUCUUUUUUCUUGCAUGUCAUGUGCGGGGCUCUGUAGUAUUGUGAUCGACUGUUGACAUUAUAUCAGUUGUGUGUUUCUCUCUUCAAAGUUUUCAGUGUCAGAGUGUUUUGUAAUGCAUGGUAUUUUAGGACUUUUGACCCUCUUUGAAUCUCUCAGUGCAGAGGCAUGAAUAAAACAUCUCACAUGUUGAUACUGUCAGUGAAUCUGGGCCAGAAGACCUCCGCUGUUUAAGGUGGGCUAACAGAUCCUAGAUUGUAUUGCAGACUGUUGAAUUUUU